CUCCCGUCCCCCUGUCCCCCCGUCCAUCCACCUGAUCUAAAAGAAAACAUCAGAUUCAUCAGACCAGGCAACGUUCUUCCACUGCUCCAUGAUCCAGUUCCGACGCUCAUAUCCCCAAGGCACUUUGGGCGGUGGACAGGGGUCAUCUUGAGCACUCUAACAGGUCAGUGGAUUCGCAGCAAACUGCACCUUUCUAUCAUAGCCAGCAUUACAAUUUUAAACUAUUUGAGCUACAGUUUACUGGUUGUCCUUUCUUUCAAAACUUUUGGUAGGUACUAACCACUGCAUACCGGGAACAGCCCACAAGACUUGCCGUUUUGGAGAUGCUCUGACCAGACGUCUAGCCAUCACUAUUUGGCCCUUGUCAAAGUCACUCUGACCUUUUUCACUUGCCUAUUUUUUCUGCUUCUAACAUAUGCAAUUCAAGAACUGACUGUUCACUUGCUGCGUAAUGUAUCCCAGACCUUGACAGGUGCCAUUGUAACAAUAUAAUCAAUGUUAUUCACAUCACCUGUCAGUGGUUUUAAUGUUGUGACUGAUCAGUGUGUACAGUAUAAAUAUAUCUACACAAUACUAUGACAGCACUAUGAUUAUGUUACUAUGAUCAACAAAUCUCAUUAACAUUAAAUGCAGGGAAUAAUUUCAGUAAUUUCUGCCCUAGAGACAUUAGGGUUUUAUUCACUCGACCGAAAACUGUAGAGCAUUUACAAGAGAAUUUCACAUCAUAACCAGACCUUCAAACUGGAACAAAAUAGCGAAGGCUGGACACAUUUUCCAGCUGAACUAUUUUGGAUUAAAAUGUGUUAAUCCCAUUCAGUUUUAGCUCUUCCCUGUGUCAUGAGUGAUUAAUAUUUGCAUUUACAUAGCGCCAACGCAUUCCGUAACUCUUUACAAUAACUGAAAGGGAAUAUUUAGAGGUGAAGAAAGUACUGCGCUAACAAGAUUACAAUCUCUGAGGGUUUGAGGUAGGUGGAUGCAUAUCAUUAGGUAUUUUGCCCAGGGACACUUACUGGUUAGGUGACCUCACUGAGAUUUUGAACCUGGGUUUGCCGGUUCUGAAUAUACAGUGGUUGUCUUUGCAUUGCAAUUGUCCAACAAAAUAUCCAGUUAUAGUUCUGUCCAAAACUGAUAUAUUACUUUGCAUAUUGUCUACUCUAAGCAGCUCUAAUAUGGCUUCCAGCAAAAUACUUUACAUUUUAUAUCAUUUCUAUUUAUAUGCUAACAUUUUUCUGGCAGGAUUCCAUGCAGGCCAUGAAAUUGCAGUAGUCUGCUUCAGGAGUUAUUAACUAUACUUCUACAAUGAUGUCAUGUUUGGUAUUUUAAUGCACAUUGUUCUGUGUAUAUUGUGGAUAAGGAUCAUUUUCUCUAAAUGCCGACAGUCAGAAUAAAUGCAAUAUUAAAUAAACCUCGUCUUAUAACAUAAACUUCAUAGUCUUACAAAGUUCCUGAUAAUCAUAUUUAUAAAGUGCAAUUAGGGGACAAAGUUCUAAAAUCAAAGCAAUCACCAUUGAAACCGACGGAAUGUUCCCUCUGCGUACCAUACUUUUAGAAUGUUAGCCUCAAAUUGCCCUUCUUGAGAACCUCUACUGAAGUUUCAGACUGCGAGUUUGCUAUGCUACGACCUAUAACAUGACUUUUUUUCCAUUAACAUUUAAAAUUCAUAUUGAAUUCACAACAAUUCAGACAUCAUCGUUAGACUUAUUUUAAAAAAAAAUAUUUUCCUUAGAAACCACCAGCAGUUGUAUCAAGGCAAAUGCAAAACUUUUAGGGCAAAGUGCUAAGUAUGUGUCCCCCUAAGUGGAUCAUUCUAAAGGUUUCUAUGGCAAAAGCUUCAAAAGUAUUACUUUGUUCCAUGAAUGCUCUUAGAUUCUCCAUGCAAUAAUCAAUGACUUUAGCACAUGGUGUAAAUGGGAGUAGACUUUAUUACCCAAUAAAUCCAAUUAAUCUUCCUGACUGUUAGGAGUCCCCCUUUUUUUCUUGAUUGGCUCCUUUGUAGUUACCUUCAAAGUACAGACUUUUCAGACCUUAGAAAAUAGUCACCUUUUUAACUUUAUUUGAAUUCUUCUUUGAUGCAUCACUUAAAGGUUCGCUAAACUCUUUUAGAUUUCUGAUUGUCCUAAUGAAUGUUUUACCUUAUUUUACUUAUUAUUACA